rnacentral:lncRNA from 1 species
GAUAGGUUGUCAAAGAAUGGAUUUAAUUAUUACAUGGGAUCUCUUAUUACAUUAAACGAACAAAACAAUAUUAGAAUUGAUUAAAACAACCUUAAACCUAGAGUAUUUGUAGCUGAAUUUAGGGUUUUGUGUCUAAAAAAAACAAUUUUCCCUAGAUUAUAUAUUUUGAAGUCGGCUAGAUAUUUUCUCGCUUUUGUUUUGUUUUUUUUUCUCUUUUAAACGAAUUAAUUUUGGACCAUUUUUUUUUUUGUAAACUGAUUUUGGACCAAACAUAGAACCACAAAACAGACAAAGUCGCUUUGGAACUAGUUAGGUCUGUGGAACCACAUUUCAGGUGAAUUUGACGUCUAGUAAAUAUUACUGAACAACAGAAUUUUGGAUAUAUUCGUAUAUAAAAAUAUCUUGAGUAAUAAAGACGACUCGUGACUGUCCUUGUGUUAAGAAAGUUUCUGUCUUUCGAAGUCUCUACCGUCAUUUACGGGUUCCCAUCUCACUUCCAAGAAGACUUUUUGUUUAACGUUUGUUUUUAGAAAAUACGAUUUAAACGACAAAUUAGAUAAAUUAUUUAGCGUAUCUGUUUUGUCAAAAUCUUAUGUUUAUACGUAAUUAAGAUAUAUAGAGGUGAAAUGGAAACUAAAA